rnacentral:rRNA from 1 species
AUUGAACGCUGGCGGCAGGCCUAACACAUGCAAGUCGAACGAGUGGCGGAAGUGUGGGUAAUGUAUGGGAAACUGCCUGAUGGAGGGGGUUAACUACUGGAAACGGUUGCUAAUACCGCAUACAAUCGGAUGGGCCCAGAUGGGAUUAGCUAGUGGGUGGGGUAAAGGCUCACCUAGGCGACGAUCCCUAGCUGGUCUGAGAGGAUGACCAGCCACACUGGAACUGAGACACGGUCCAGACUCCUACGGGAGGCAGCAGUGGGGAAUAUUGCACAAUGGGCGCAAGCCUGAUGCAGCCAUGCCGCGUGUAUGAAGAAGGCCUUCGGGUUGUAAAGUACUUUCAGCGGGGAGGCGUUACCCGCAGAAGAAGCACCGGCUAACUCCGUGCCAGCAGCCGCGGUAAUUC